UUGACCUCAAAUCAGGUAGGA
rnacentral:rRNA from 16 species